UUGGGUAAAUGCUGGGGUGGGGGUGUGUGGCAUUCACUCUGAGGCCUCCUUCCAUUCCCUGGGUGCUCAUGGCCCUGGCUCUCCAAAGGCCCCAACAACAAAGAGCAAAAAAUACAAGACACAAAGUCAGCUAAGAUGAGAAACUAACAUUGGUGGGACUGGGAACUGCCAGCUUCCUGGCGUGUCCAGUUGUGUGACCCUGUCAUCCUUCCCUGUCUCUUGGAUGUGAGAACUCUUGUUGUAGCCUGAGUGGGGGGCAUCCUGGGAAACCCACAAGCCAGUGGGCCCAGGGCUGCUGUAGGAAAACCUUGCUGUGUGGCUUCAACAGUCACAAGUCUCCAAGUACCAGCUUGAUGGUAGACAGGAAUGACGAGCUCCCUGUUCAAGGAGCUCAGUCUAGCUGGAAACAGAAAGGUGAAUGAACACAUGGGCAGCAAGGGGUUGCCAUGAACUGGAAGUGUGCUGAGACCUAAGAGUGAAAAGAACACAGUCAGGGGUGCUAUGGGGCCAGCAAGAGGACAGUAAAGCCCAAUUCAAGAUGCACCGAGGCAAGCCUCUCACAAGGGAGGAUGGUGAUGGUGAGGGGUAGCAGGCACCAGCACCCGCCAGGGAACACCGAGUGCAGGCAUUCUGUUGGGCUGACAGUCUCUUGAGACCCAGCUGAGGCCCAGCCCCCUGCCCGGCAUCCCACAGACCUACACCUCACUCCUCUGGAGGUCUGGGUCUGAGGUCAUGCUUCUCAGUUUCAGCACACCUCACUGGUUUCAGACAAGUAUCUCAGCUGUCAGGCUGUGGAACACAGGUUUUCUCAAUGACCCGAGAAUUUAGAGGCUCAGAGAGAAAAAUAAAGUGGCUCCUUUUCCAAGUAACUUUCCAGAUAAUCCCACUUCUUGGGCCCAGCCAAAUUAAGAGACCCAAUUAAGCAGGUCCCAAUAGCUCCUGAAGAAGUGAGCAAGGGCUGGAAGCUUUGUCCCUCCCCUUCCCUGAUGGAGAAUUUGCUCUCUACCUGCUGAUGCAGAGAAAGUAGAGAGAAGUAAGAAAAACAAAGCCUGAAAUGCCACAAACACAACUGCCCACUGAAGAGAAGCCUGCUCUGGAACCCUCCACCAUCAACUCUGUUGCUCAAACAGAAACACCUCUACCAAGCACUGGCAGAGAGGUGUCCCUCCCAAGGGCAGGCGAAACAGGCUGGGCCAGAGGCAGCCCACCUACAGCACCCCCCACCCCUUGCCUGCACUAGGCCCCCUUGAGAUUGAGGCCUGUGUCCACUCCAGUCCGGCACCUGGAGCCCGUGUGUAGGAAGAAACUCUACUGCUGCAGUGUCUGUGGUGUGACAGACAUCCAGUGGCCUUGGUAAACUCUACAUUCAGGCAGGCUUACUCCCCUCUCAGAAG
rnacentral:lncRNA from 1 species